UACAGAGGUCCCAAGCGUUGUUCGGAUUCACUGGGCGUAAAGGGUGCGUAGGCGGCGGGGCAAGUCUGAUGUGAAAUCCCGGGGCUCAACCCCGGAACUGCAUUGGAUACUGCCUUGCUAGAGUACUGGAGAGGGAACUGGAAUUUACGGUGUAGCAGUGAAAUGCGUAGAGAUCGUAAGGAAGGCCAGUGGCGAAGGCGAGUUCCUGGACAGUUACUGACGCUGAGGCACGAAGGCCAGGGGAGCAAACGGG
rnacentral:rRNA from 1 species